rnacentral:rRNA from 1 species
CAGUCGCCGCGGGAACACGGAGGGGGCUAGCGUUGUUCGGAAUUACUGGGCGUAAAGCGCACGUAGGCGGCUUGGUAAGUUAGAGGUGAAAGCCCGGAGCUCAACUCCGGAAUUGCCUUUAAGACUGCCGAGCUAGUAGGUGAGAGAGGUAAGUGGAAUUCCGAGUGUAGAGGUGAAAUUCGUAGAUAUUCGGAAGAACACCAGUGGCGAAGGCGGCUUACUGGCUCAUUCUAGACGCUGAGGUGCGAAAGCGUGGGGAGCAAACAGGAUUAGAGACCCGCGUAGUCCCUGUCUCUUAUAC